rnacentral:rRNA from 1 species
UACGUAGGGGGCAAGCGUUGUCCGGAUUUAUUGGGCGUAAAGAGCGUGUAGGCGGCCAGACAGGUCCGUUGUGAAAACUCGAGGCUCAACCUCGAGACGUCGGCGGAAACCAUCUGGCUAGAGUCCGGAAGAGGAGAGUGGAAUUCCUGGUGUAGCGGUGAAAUGCGCAGAUAUCAGGAAGAACACCCGUGGCGAAGGCGGCUCUCUGGGACGGUACUGACGCUGAGACGCGAAAGCGUGGGGAGCGAACAGG